AGUGGCGAACGGGGGAUUAACACGUGGGAAUUUUCCUAGGAGUGGGGGUAACCUUUCGAAACCGAUGCUAAUUCCGCAUAUUUUUUUAAACCCGCAUGGGUUUUUAAAACGAAAAGACGGCUUCGGCUGUCGCUCUUAGAUGAUCCCGCGGCGUAUUAGUUAGUUGGGUGGGGUAAAAGGCCUACCAAAGACCAUGAUACGUAGCCGGACCUGAGAGGGUGAUCGGCCACACUGGGACUGAGACACGGCCCAGACUCCUACGGGAGGCAGCAGUAGGGAAUCUUCCACAAUGGGUGAAAACCUGAUGGAGCAAUGCCGCGUGAAUGAAGAAGGUCUUCGGAUCGUAAAGUUCUGUUAUUAGAGAAGAACAAGUCAAGGAGUAACUGUCUUGACUUUGACGGUACCUAACCAGAAAGUCACGGCUAACUACGUGCCAGCAGCCGCGGUAAUACGUAGGUGACAAGCGUUGUCCGGAAUUAUUGGGCGUAAAGGGAGCGCAGGCGGUUGGAAUAGUCUGAUGUGAAAGCCCACGGCUUAACCGUGGAAGGUCAUUGGAAACUGUCCAACUUGAAUACAGAAGAGGUAAGUGGAAUUCCAAGUGUAGCGGUGAAAUGCGUAGAUAUUUGGAGGAACACCAGUGGCGAAGGCGACUUACUGGUCUGUAAUUGACGCUGAGGCUCGAAAGCGUGGGUAGCAAACAGGAUUAGAUACCCUGGUAGUCCACGCCGUAAACGAUGAGUGCUAAGUGUUAGGGGGGUUUCCGCCCCCUUAGUGCUGGAGUUAAC
rnacentral:rRNA from 1 species